rnacentral:rRNA from 1 species
UACGGAGGGUGCAAGCGUUGUCCGGAAUCACUGGGCGUAAAGGGCGCGUAGGCGGCUCAUGAAGGCUGUGGUGAAAGUCCGGGGCUCAACCUCGGAUCGGCCGUGGCGACUCGUGGGCUGGAGCACUGUAGAGGCGGGUGGAAGUCCGGGUGUAGCGGUGGAAUGCGUAGAGAUCCGGAAGAACACCAGUGGCGAAGGCGGCCCGCUGGGCAGUGGCUGACGCUGAAGCGCGACAGCGUGGGGAGCAAACAGG